rnacentral:rRNA from 1 species
AUUGAACGCUGGCGGCAUGCCUUACACAUGCAAGUCGAACGGCAGCGGACCUUCGGGUGCCGGCGAGUGGCGAACGGGUGAGUAAUAUAUCGGAACGUACCUUUCAGUGGGGGAUAACGUAGCGAAAGUUACGCUAAUACCGCAUAUUCUGUGAGCAGGAAAGCAGGGGAUCGCAAGACCUUGCGCUGAUUGAGCGGCCGAUAUCAGAUUAGCUAGUUGGUGAGGUAAAGGCUCACCAAGGCGACGAUCUGUAGCGGGUCUGAGAGGAUGAUCCGCCUACACUGGAACUGAGACACGGUCCAGACUCCUACGGGAGGCAGCAGUGGGGAAUUUUGGACAAUGGGCGCAAGCCUGAUCCAGCCAUGCCGCGUGAGUGAAGAAGGCCU